rnacentral:rRNA from 1 species
AUGAGGUUGUGGUCUCUCCUUCUUCUCCUUGUUUGCUUGCCUACACUGAUCCUGUCGGAAGAUUACUCCGACGUAACCGUCAUCGUACGGGGCUCCAAGACGAUCGCUGCGACCAGUGAUGAGUUCAUUUGCGCUACCCUUGAUUGGUGGCCUCCGGAGAAGUGCAACUAUGAUCAGUGCCCAUGGGGAAAGGCUUCUAUCUUGAAUAUGGACUUGACUAAUCCGUUGCUAGCUAAAGUUAUCCAGGCUUUUAGCCCACUACGCAUCAGAGUCGGAGGCUCCUUACAAGAUCAAGUGGUAUAUGAAACACCAAAUUUAGGAUCUCCAUGCAGACCAUUUACAAAGGCUUCAAGUGGCUUGUUCGGAUUUUCUAAAGGAUGCAUAACCAUGGAAAGAUGGGAUGCAAUGAAUGAUCUGUUCCUCAAUACAGGUGCAGUUAUUACUUUUGGUCUUAAUGCACUUCGAGGGCGAAAGCAGAUACGCAAAGGUGUUUGGGGAGGUGCUUGGAAUUCAAGCAAUGCUCAGGAGUUUAUGGAAUAUACUGUUUCAAUGAACUAUCCUAUUGAUUCAUGGGAAUUUGGUAAUGAACUGAGUGGAAGUGGAAUCGGUGCAAGCGUGGGAGCUGAACAAUGCGGAAAAGACCUGGUUGAACUUCAAAAGAUCGUCGAUCAGUUAUAUGAAAACUCUAGCAAACCAUUGGUGCUAGCCCCAGGAGGAUUCUAUGACAAACAAUGGUUUGCUAAGCUCCUUGACGUCUCUGGGCCAAAUGUUGUCAGAGGAAUGACUCACCAUAUUUACAAUCUUGGUGCUGGUAAUGAUCCACAUGUGGCCAAUAGAAUCUUGGACCCGCAGCAUUUAAGCAGGGUUUCAGACACAUUCAGAGAUCUCCAGCUCACGAUACAACGACAUGGACCAUGGUCGGCUCCGUGGGUCGGGGAAGCUGGCGGAGCGUAUAACAGCGGCAGCCGUACCGUUUCCAAUACUUUCCUGGAUAGCUUCUGGUAUCUUGAUCAACUUGGUCAGUCAGCAAAGUAUGACACCAAGGUCUACUGCAGACAGACUUUAAUUGGAGGCAACUAUGGCCUCCUCGACACCGAUACUUACGUGCCGAACCCUGAUUACUACAGUGCCUUGUUGUGGCAUCGACUAAUGGGGAAUGGAGUUCUUUCCAUAGACUUCGGCGGUACUUCAUACUUGCGUGCCUAUGCGCAUUGCGGAAAGCAGAAGGGCGGUAUCGCUCUCCUCUUGAUCAACCUGAGCCAAAACAUGGGGUCCAUGGUCACCGUCAGGAACGACCUCAACGUCGGCCUAGCGCAAGGGCAGGGAAUAACAAGGGACAGCUCCUUUGUUCAUGGCCUGAAGAGGACGGUCUCCUGGGUUGGGAGCAAAGCCUCCGAUGGGCUGGAGAAGAGGGAAGAAUACCACCUGACGGCUCAAGACGGGAACCGUUUUGCACGCACCAUGCUGCUGAAUGGAGUUCCUCUGGAGCUCACUGAAGAUGGUGACAUCCCUCCGAUGUACCCGGUGCAAGUUUCUGCCAGUUCACCGAUCUAUGUCGCGCCGCUGUCCAUUGCCUUCGUCGUCUUCCCAGAUUUUGAGGCUGACGCUUGCUAG